CGCCAGCCCCAGCUCCGCCCCUGACUGAUCUAGCAGAGUUGCGUUACACCCACAUUCUGUCCCUUCCCUUGCACGCCGAGUUCCUGCUGAGGGUUCCGGCUUACGUCCCGAGCCCCGCAGCGCGCCAGAGCUCUCCGCUCUCUAGCUUCCGGAGCCACAACUGCAUCCCUUCGCUUCGGGGCUUGCCUGGAUGGACCGCGGCCUGAGCCGCGUUUUCCCGGCCAGGGUAGUGAGACUGAGCGGGAACUAACGCAGAACGGACUGCUCCACGAGCCCUGAAAUAGCUGGGAAGAUGGAGAGGAGCCGACGUCCCAGGCUCUAGAGACCAUUCCUCUAACUAAUGCUAUUCGGACUGUGAUUUUCUGCAGGUUCUAUUUGAGAACUAGCUGAUCCUGCACAGAAAAGAAGAUCCUCAGUCUAAGUCUGAAAGCAGAUGGAAGAGAUCAGAUCUGAAGGAAGAGGACUCUUAGUGCCUCUGCUGGCUUGAAAAAGGCAUGGAAUAAAGGAGGCUUCUAGGAUCUAGAAACAGAU